rnacentral:lncRNA from 1 species
AAUAGAAAAAACUUGGACUUGGAUCUCUCUCAUUUGAGCCCACAAAGCCAUGAAAAUCAGGUUAUAAAAGAGGGGGAUCAGACAGAAAAAGAAAGAGAAGCAAAAUACUAUGAGGUUUCCUUGAAACAAAACCCUGGACAAAACUUGGAGAGGAACCUGACAGAGAACUCAGAGCAACCCCCAUCUCACGCAAACCCUAACAUUUCAACCGGUCUCUCCC